rnacentral:hammerhead_ribozyme from 1 species
GUCCAGCUGACGAGUCCAAAAUAGGACGAAACGUGCGUCCUGGAU